rnacentral:lncRNA from 1 species
AUCAGGUGGGUAUAACGGCAAAUCCUGAAAUAUCACACAACAUCCCAAACAUAUAUAUUCUCAUAAAGCCCUAGCGUCCAAACGGGCACCCCGUGCCCAUUUGUCCGCUUUUUUUAAUAUUCACACGUGUCAAAAUAUAAACGUGUAUUUUUUAUUUAAUUUUGAUUUUAAUAUAAAUUGUUUUUGUAAAAAACUUUGUGAUAUGAUUUAUCUCCUCUCUCUCUCUCUCUCUCUCUCUCUCUCUCUCUUCCUUCACAAUUUAAGAACAUUAAUAAAAAAAUUAUAUAAAAGUAUCAAAUAUAUUAAAUUUCAUAGAUAUUUUUUUUGUGAUUAAAUUAAAUAGACAUACUAUCAUUUUAAUUUUCUGUUCUAUUAAUUAAACUUUGAUUCACAUUGAUUGAUGUUAUAAGGAUGCAGUAAUGGAUACAUUGCAUAUACUAAAAUAUGCAUUUCAAUUCCAGUAGGCCUAACAUUAUUUUUGACUUUUCCAUUUGAUUUCAUUGAAAUGAUUUUUACACUAUAAUUGAAAAUAUUGAAAAAUAAAUAUAUGAAAAAUGCAACCAAAGUUGGGGAAAAAAUCUAAAUUAAGUUGAAAUAUUAUAAAGAAAAAAGAAAAGAUAGAAAGUGACAACCCUACAAUUCUUUAGUCAUUAUCUAGAAAGUAUUCUCUUAUCAAAAGUUUACAACACAACAACAAUAACGUUGUUACUUCACUUUUGAUUUUCCAAAUGAGAAAAUUGUCCUUUUAUAUGGAGAAAGGAAAGUAAUAUAAAACAAAACUCCAAAAUUUUAUUGAAACCUCACUCUGUUGUAACUUGUAUUGUGGUUCCUAAAAUACUCUUAUAUCACCAUCAAACAUAAAGCUACACCAAAAUGCUUAAACUAUAACUAUAUAUAUACUUUCACCAAACUCAUUAAAAACUCUAUAUUUAGUAUUUACCAUCAGAAAAGAAAAACUAAACAAAUAAAAGAGUUUGAUUCAAUAGCAGGUAAACGAAAUAUUCAUAUUUAUAGCAUUAUGUUCACAACUAAAUGUUAAUCUUUACUGUCAAGAAUAAAAAAGUUAAUAUAGAUUUGGAAAAAAAAUUUAUAUGUGUAAUUGCAAGAGAAAAUAUUGUGUUUAAGUUGAAUAGAGAGACAAAAUUUGACAUAUUUCAAUUCAAGUUAGAUGCUGUUUAGAAAAUGGGAAGUGAGAAACACUCCAAAUUCAUCUUUGGGUCCAUAUUGAACCUUUAUGAUUUUUGGAAUGAGAGAAUCUUUGUUAUUAACAACAUCUAUAUACCAAAGAUAAAUUUGAUUAUGAAUAACACAGUUUGUAAAAAUGUAAAGAAAUAAUCUCCCAUAUGCAAGCUCCGGAAUAGAAAAACCAUUAUCAAAACAGAGGUUAAAAAUAUUCUUAUUAUUAAAAGAAGAAAUAUAAUCAAAAUACAAAUGAAAUAAAAGAGACUACAGAAUAUGUAAAAGAAAAUCUCACUGUCACCAUGAAUGACAUUUUCUGAGUCAGUAGUAUAUGCACCAUGCUUUUGCGUUGGUGUUCAUCUCCACCAUGGGACAGGCCUACAAAAACCUAUAUGUUUCUUGUCAAAGACUCGCCCUUCGAUCGCAUAUCAUACCUUUGCAACCGACUCUCUAUCACCUUACAAAUUUCCCCAUUAAUAAGUUUAAUGAAUAUAUUAUGGAAGAGAAUGGUGAAAAAAAGUUAUAAUUGAAUAUGGAUAAGGAGGAACCUUCAUAUGAAAGCUCUUAAAGUUUAAAUUUUUCUUUUGUGGGAUGAAGAUAGAAUAAAUUUUAAUUUCAAAGCAUUGAGAGCCGCCGAGAGGAUGAUGAGUAGUUGAGAGAAUGAAAUCAUGACUUCCAAAAGGAUGAUGAGCGGUUGAGCAAAUAAAAUUGUAACUGUCAAGAGAAUGAUGGUCGGUUGAGAGAAUGAAACCAAGAAAUUAUGUAGCGGUUAAUUGAUCUCAAAUGUACAUGAAGGUUGGUUUUAUUAUGUGGUGAUGAGUAGAAAAAUAAAAUAUAAAAACAGUUUUCUCUGUAAUGAUAAAUUUAUAAAGACAAAGAGGAAGUUAAAAGGUAAUUUUGUCAUAAAGGAUAAUUUUGUCAUAAAACAGUUUUCUCUGUAAUGAUAAAUUUAUAAAUCCAAAGAGGAAGUUAAAGGGUAAUUUUUUCAUUUAAGGAUACAUAUCACAUUCAUUCGUUAAUCAUACACUAACACAACACACAAAACAAAAUUCAUCUUUCUUCCUUUAUUUUUUUCUUAAUUUUUUUUAUUAUUCAUUUCCAAACCCUAAUUUUAAUUUCCCCAUUUUUUAUCCAAUUUUCCAUUAUUGUUUUGGAUCUAGGUGCUCCCUCACUUCCUCCUUAUAUAAGAGUUUCCAUUUCACUUUAAAUCCAAAUAAAUUUAAAUUCAUUUUUAACUUCACCCUGUGUUUCAACAUUUGAUCACAAUAAUAAUACCUUUGUUACCAUAAAAUUGAAAAGACAUAAAAGCAAAUUUAAAAAGGAUUAUUGAGGCAGUUUUUCUACAAAGACAACUUUCUCUCUCGGGUAGUGUUCACUUCCACCAAAAUUGCACAUAAUAAAAAGAAUAAAUAAAUAAAUUAAAAGUAACAAAAAGGAUAAGACAAAUUCAAAACUAAAUUGAGCAAACACGUACACAUUUCAACAUCAAAAUAAUUAAUUAAAAUACCAUGACAUUAGAAGAAUGAAAGUGAUGAUAAAGGUUGAAACCAUAUGGAAGACAAAAAUAAAAAAGGUUGAAACCAUAAUAUGAAAGACAAAAUAAAAAAUGAAAAAAAAUAGAUGAGAGAAGAAUUGACAGUUCCAUAUAAUAGAAUGAAAAAAAUUCAACAAAAAAAAUAGUAUGUUGAUUAAGAAAGAUA